rnacentral:rRNA from 1 species
GCCAGACUCCUACGGGAGGCAGCAGUAGGGAAUAUUGCUCAAUGGGGGAAACCCUGAAGCAGCAACGCCGCGUGGAGGAUGAAGGUUUUCGGAUUGUAAACUCCUUUUGUUAGAGAAGAUAAUGACGGUAUCUAACGAAUAAGCAUCGGCUAACUCCGUGCCAGCAGCCGCGGUAAUACGGGGGAUGCGAGCGUUAUCCGGAUUUAUUGGGUUUAAAGGGUGCGUAGGCGGCGCUUCAGGUCAGCGGUGAAAUACCGGGCCUCAACCCCGGGGCUGCCGUUGAAACCGGAGCGCUAGAAUUCCGAUGCCGUCGGAGGAAUGUGUGGUGUAGCGGUGAAAUGCAUAGAUAUCACGCAGAACUCCGAUUGCGAAGGCAGCAUACCGGCGCGCAACUGACGCUCAUGCACGAAAGCGUGGGUAUCGAACAGGAUUAGAUACCCUUGUAC